GGGCCCCCGAGGCAGGAGCAUGGAGGCCAUCUGGCUCUACCAGUUCCGGCUGAUCGUCAUCGGGGACUCGACCGUGGGCAAGUCGUGCCUCAUCCGCCGCUUCACCGAGGGCCGCUUCGCCCAGGUGUCGGACCCCACGGUGGGCGUCGACUUCUUCUCGCGCCUGGUGGAGAUCGAGCCCGGGAAGCGCAUCAAGCUGCAGAUCUGGGACACGGCCGGGCAGGAGAGGUUCAGGUCGAUCACCCGGGCCUACUACAGAAACUCGGUGGGCGGCCUCCUCUUGUUUGACAUCACCAACCGCCGGUCCUUCCAGAACGUCCACGAGUGGCUGGAGGAGACCAAGGCCCAGGUGCAACCCUACCAGAUCGUGUUCGUCCUCGUGGGUCACAAGUGCGACCUCGACGCCCAGAGGCAAGUGAGCCGGCACGAGGCGGAGAAGCUGGCGGCCGCCUACGGCAUGAAGUACAUCGAGACCUCGGCCCGGGACGCCAUCAACGUGGAGAAGGCCUUCACGGACCUGACCCGGGACAUAUACGAGCUGGUCAAGAGAGGGGAGGUCACCAUCCAGGAGGGGUGGGAGGGGGUCAAGAGCGGCUUCGUCCCCAACGUGGUGCACUCCUCCGAAGAGGUCGUCAAGUCCGACAGGAGGUGCCUCUGCUAGGCGGGCCCUGGGGGGACCGGGCCCCCUUGUCGGAGAAGACCCCCUGCCCCCUCCUUCCCCCCCCCACCCCCCGCCUCCAGGUGGGUGCACUGGGCUGUGGGGGAUGGGGGCACGGGGGGUGGCGCUUUCCAAGGAACUGAACGUAAAGGUCCUCAGUGUAUAGCGGCAAGCCCGGUCCGGGCGAUGAUUUCUCUAGGUACUUGCCCACAUGCGGGAAUCCCCUGCUAGGCCGAGAGGAGUCUGUGGUGCAGAAAGGAGGAAAGCCGAGAGGAGGAAAAAUGAAACGGCGGGUAAAUAUUUUCUGAAAAGGGUGAGCCCUGGGAGAUGGUCCGUCCCCCGGAAGGGUGAAGAUGCCUUUCUUACUGAACGACACUGGAAAUAAGCUACGGGUUUCUACUACUAACCGAGGGGACCGGUCAAAUCACUACUGGGUGACAGCCCCGUGGCCCGUGGGUGAGGGGACGGGGUGGGAGAUGAAUGGGUGCUGAUGCUAACUAACAAUUUUUGACCUCUCACCCAGUCUUGAGGCCCUUCCACAGCAUCUUGUGUGUUCAGUGACUGAUCACUGUCUGAGCCUCUCCAGGAAGGAGUCAGUUUUAUCAUCAGCAUCCACCAGAGGCUCAGACGUUAUCUAGAAGAUGGUCUUCCUGGAGAAGUUCAGACAGUGAUCAGUCACUGAACACACAAGCUGCGAAUAAACAUGCCAAUCGGGUAAGAGUGAUGUUAUUUUUGGAAACAGUACUCGUUUUUAUCGUCAGCAUCACCCAGAGGCUCAGGCAUUAUGUGGUAGAUGGUCUGCACCUGUGAUCUGGGGAGCAGGGUUUUUGUUUUUUAAGUUGCAGUCAGUUACAGAGGAAAAAUGGUGGUAGUGAUUCUCAGAGGUGGGACGGAGAGUUAAGUGACCUGCCUCUGCGUGGUGAGGGUGGUUCAGGGCUUGGUGGGGGAAUGUAAAAAUGUGAAUGUAUGGAGGGAAGAGAGAGAGAGGGAGGAAAGUCUAAUGUCGUAAUUGACUUCAGCUGUUCUUAAAUAGCUUCGUUACCUCAGAAGCAGACAAGUUAAACUAAAACUUGCCAAAAAUCACAGGGGUCAUUGGUGGAGCAGUGCUAAGAAUUUUGCCUCAGCACCUCAAGGUUGUAAGUUCUAACAACUCGCAACAACAAACAAGAAUCUUUUUAAGGUCCUCGCACCAGAGCCAGAACUAGAACUUGGGCCUCCAGCCUCUCAGGCCUGUUACUUUCCUCUGGGCUCCAGCUCUCACAGUUGGAAGGCUCCUGUUUGUCCUAUUUUAAGAGGAAGAUAAAGCCAAAGAAGAAAAAAAAAAAAAAAAACCAACAAAAAACACCUUGCAUACCACACUCAACCCAUUUCUUUCCAACAGAAUGGAAAGAGAGAAUUGACAAUUUGAUUCAAAGCUGCUUCUCUUACAGGGAGAGCUUUAAGAGAGGAGAAAGAAGGGGAGAGGGGGAGAAAAA